UACGGAGGGUGCGAGCGUUGCUCGGAAUCACUGGGCGUAAAGCGUACGCAGGCGGUUCUGUAAGUCGGGUGUGAAAGCCCGGGGCUCAACCCCGGAAUUGCGCCCGAGACUGCAGGACUUGAAUGCGGGAGAGGAAAGCGGAAUUCCUGGUGUAGAGGUGAAAUUCGUAGAUAUUGGGAAGAACACCAGUGGCGAAGGCGGCUAACUGGUCCGGUACUGACGCUGAGGUGCGAAAGCGUGGGGAGCAAACAGG
rnacentral:rRNA from 1 species